AGAGUUUGAUCAUGGCUCAGAUUGAACGCUGGCGGCAGGCCUAACACAUGCAAGUCGAGCGGAUGACAGGAGCUUGCUCCUGGAUUCAGCGGCGGACGGGUGAGUAAUGCCUAGGAAUCUGCCUGGUAGUGGGGGACAACGUCUCGAAAGGGACGCUAAUACCGCAUACGUCCUACGGGAGAAAGCAGGGGACCUUCGGGCCUUGCGCUAUCAGAUGAGCCUAGGUCGGAUUAGCUAGUUGGUGAGGUAAUGGCUCACCAAGGCGACGAUCCGUAACUGGUCUGAGAGGAUGAUCAGUCACACUGGAACUGAGACACGGUCCAGACUCCUACGGGAGGCAGCAGUGGGGAAUAUUGGACAAUGGGCGAAAGCCUGAUCCAGCCAUGCCGCGUGUGUGAAGAAGGUCUUCGGAUUGUAAAGCACUUUAAGUUGGGAGGAAGGGCAGUAACUUAAUACGUUGCUGUUUUGACGUUACCGACAGAAUAAGCACCGGCUAACUCUGUGCCAGCAGCCGCGGUAAUACAGAGGGUGCAAGCGUUAAUCGGAAUUACUGGGCGUAAAGCGCGCGUAGGUGGUUUGUUAAGUUGGAUGUGAAAGCCCCGGGCUCAACCUGGGAACUGCAUUCAAAACUGACAAGCUAGAGUAUGGUAGAGGGUGGUGGAAUUUCCUGUAGCGGUGAAAUGCGUAGAUAUAGGAAGGAACACCAGUGGCGAAGGCGACCACCUGGACUGAUACUGACACUGAGGUGCGAAAGCGUGGGGAGCAAACAGGAUUAGAUACCCUAGUAGUCC
rnacentral:rRNA from 1 species